rnacentral:rRNA from 1 species
AGAGUUUGAUCAUGGCUCAGGAUGAACGCUAGCGGGAGGCCUAACACAUGCAAGCCGAGCGGUAGAGAUUCUUCGGAAUCUUGAGAGCGGCGUACGGGUGCGGAACACGUGUGCAACCUACCUUUAUCUGGAGGAUAGCCUUUCGAAAGGAAGAUUAAUACUCCAUAAUAUAUUGAUUGGCAUCAAUUGAUAUUGAAAGCUCCGGCGGAUAGAGAUGGGCACGCGCAAGAUUAGUUAGUUGGUGAGGUAACGGCUCACCAAGACGAUGAUCUUUAGGGGCCUGAGAGGGUGAUCCCCCACACUGGUACUGAGACACGGACCAGACUCCUACGGGAGGCAGCAGUGAGGAAUACUGGUCAAUGGGUGCAAGCCUGAACCAGCCAUCCCGCGUGAAGGACGACUGCCCUAUGGGUUGUAAACUUCUUUUGUAUAGGGAUAAACCUACCCUCGUGAGGGUAGCUGAAGGUACUAUACGAAUAAGCACCGGCUAACUCCGUG